CAUUUCUAGCAUUUUUUCAUUAUGCCUCAAUUCACAAAUUUGUUCAUAUUACACAAGGAUUUUCACCAAAUUUCUAAUUGAUAAGUCAAUCACAGGCAAAUCAAAUUCAAACAGAAGAAUGACAUUGCUGGAAACACAUAAUUUUUUGUUAAACAAACUGGUUCAGAUACACAAACUUCUUGUCAUUUGGCUUCACAAAACUAAUCAUAACAAUGAUAAAUAAGCACAAUGCAGCCAUACAAAUAAACCUAAAUUUUCUAGUAAAUACUUCUCUUAUAUCUUCCUCGUCUUGUAAUUUCUGGAUUCUUUACAGGAGCAUUAUCUUUUCUUCCUUCAACUCGAUGAUCUUUUUCUUCUUUCGCGUCAACUUCUCUUCACAACACUUUAAUUUGUUCCUGUAGCAAACUCAUUUUCCUCCUUCAAUGCAAGAACUACUUCCAAAGACUCAAUCUUGUCAAAUUUUACAUCAAACAUAGCCCCUUUUGUAGAACUAUGGCUGAGCUCAUCAUUGAGCCAAAGAAUUUUUUUUUUUUUUUGGGGGGCAAAUCCCCUAAUCACUCCCUUAGUUAAAGUCAAAUUCCUUGGUCAAUUCCUUAAUCGCACCACUUGUGCUCCUUAAUUACGGUGUGAUAGUAUAAAAUUUUUAGUUAUCCCAGCGGGCAAUCAGCCUCGGUUGAAACAAAAUAGAAGUCAAAAGAUGCUUAUAUUACCGGAAAUAUUUUCUGAUCUCCACAAUUGUUGACCUCUUUUGAGUGCGAGAAAAAUUAGAACCUUCUACAAGAAAAAUGCAAUCCCGUUGGCUUGGCAAAGAUAAGUUGGCUUGGCAAAGAUAAAAGAGUUCAACGUUGACAAAGAAAAUAAAAAUUCAAUGGUAAAUGAUUAGCUUUAGCUCAAUAAUUCUACCAUAGUCUAUAGAAUUGUAAAAUCUUAAAUUCGAAUUUCAAUCGAAAUAAAUCACAUAAAAAUAUGUCAACCAUCCCAGGAAAUGUGAUAUUAAGACUAAAAGGUAUUCCAAUGAUUCAAUCAAUACCAUAAAAAUAUUCAAAUUUUAAUUUAAUAUAACUCAAAUAUUUUGAGAAGAUUUCAUUUGUUACUCUUACAAGAAACUGAUAUAGACAUGCAUAAAUGGCGAGACUUCUCUCUAUAUGGCAAAAGAGAUAUUUUUUAUUGUGCCUAAUCCAUUAAGGCAUGUCCAAAGUAUCCAACGAAAUCUGAUCAGAUAGACUUGAAUAGUAUUAAAUAUUUUUUUGAUAUAAAUUGAAGUCAAAGGAACGAUGAGUAACAGUAGGUAAAAUUAAGCCUCCAGUGAAUGAAAUGAGCUGCUAUCGGAGCACAAAUGACAGAACAAACUCCUAGAAGUAACAUAAAAAUUAAAACUAUCUUAAAGUUUUCACAUUGCUAAAAGUUUAGCUCAUCUUCAGCAGGGAAUUACAAUGCAAGGGUUAGUUAUUCAAGUGCAAGAAAGGCACCUUUAUCAAAUCGUUCUUAUAUAUCCAGUUUCUCAUAUUACAACUCUCUCCCUUGGUAGACUGUACAAAUUCCACAAGCGAGCAAAAAAACUGAUUCCUUUAGUUUGCAGUUGAGGAAACUUCUUGGAUUUCAUCAUAUGUGCCAGUCUCCUCAUUGAAUGAGUACCAUUUCCCUGAUGUUGCAUAACAGUACAAUCCUGUAGAUGGGUCAUAAUAGUAACCUGAACUGCUGCUAUAGUAGUACCCAGAUGCCUCAUCAUAAACAUAAUCAUCUUGCAAAUCUCCAGUUUCAGAACCAGAGAUCUGGCCAUCUGAAAGUGGUUGACUAACUCCAUUAGAACUAGGGCCAGAAACCAAAUUACUACUGUUGGAGGAUGGUCCAGCAGUAGCAUUAUCAUCAUCGUCUGCAAACAUGUCGUAUGCAUCAGCAUCAUUGUGUGAGGUAUGUCCAGCAGAUACAUUUGUGUUUGAACCACCCACAUCAGCAUUGGACAAUAUCGAGGAGCCUGCUCCAUGAUCUGUUAUAUCAGAGGACAAGUCCUUUCCCACGCUGUAAGAAAUUUCCUGGCCUGCACUCGGAUAUGCGCUCUUCUCCCUAGCCAGAGCUAACUUCUCAUAUCCUUCUGCCUCCCGCUCGAAUACCUCCUGCUUGUCGUGAUAGACAUUGUAUUCGCCAUGAUCCAACAACUUGUUUGCAUCUUCAGUCAGCUGGUCAAAUAGAAGCUGUGUCUCAGCUGACAUCUUCUCUUUCCUCUUAUUUGAACCACCCUUCAACCUUCUCAAAGCUUGUAACACCGUUUCCCCUGGUUCAAGAAAGUUGGCAAUACGCCUCUUUAUUAUUCCAAUGUCUUCAGAUGAAAGUUCGCUUGAAUCAUUUUUAUUAUCAUCUUCUAUUGUUGUUACCAUAGAGCUUUUGCCAGCAAAUCUUGGAUCAACUUCAACACUAUCAAGCCAUGCAUCCUUGUGUUCAUUCUCAUUGACAUACUCAACAAAAUUUCCAUCUACAUCAAAGUAGCCUUCUUCCCUUUCUUGGUCAAGAUUGAAUGGUUCUAUUUGAAUCCCAUCUUCAACAAAAUUUUCAUUAUCCUCAUAAGUGACUUCAGCUGCAGAAGCCUCAUUGAGUUCUUCGCUAAAGAGUUCAGCAGUGAUAAGAUUACGACGCUUUGCACGCUCCUGCGCAGCCAAACGGGGAUCUUUCGUAUCGGUCGGAAUAUCUUCAACUUUGGCUCUACUCACUAUUGCUUCGUCCCCUGGCUUCACCUUCUUACCCUUGGGAAAUCGAAUUUUCUUCUGCUUGGGGGGUUUGUUGGAGUCGUCGUCCUCAUCUUCGCCUUCCAAGAAAGGACGCUUGCGAUUAGAGCGAGAAGGAAUCAUACCUUCCAUUGUUAAAGAAACAAGAACAGCUCUACGUAGCAAUUCCGAGAGAGAGAGAGAGAGAGA
rnacentral:misc_RNA from 1 species